UAUCAUAACUUAACAAACAAGCCCCUGCCUUAAAAUAGCAAUAUUAAAAUGUAAUUUGCAUUCUGAAAUACUUCCAAAAUCACAAGCAGGGUUGAAAUGCCGCCCGAACAUUCCUUUAGAAAGCUAUAAAAAGGACUGUCAAAUGUUUUUUCUUAUUGUGUUAUUUCUGGGCUGAAGUAUUUAACGCGACCGAUAUUAAGGAUUUUAUGUUUACAGAUAAAAGGGAAUUUUCUUGUUAAAUCCAUGUUUUGUGAACUGUCAGGAAACGCGUUUUACUGGCGAAACCUGACAAGGAUGCGUCGCAACUCGCCGCCGGAGGUCUGCCGAGGCAGGGUCGGAGCAGAGCGCCGGACCUUCUGCGAAACAACUGGGCUUUGAAAGUAGCCAUCGGCACGGCGGACGGUGACGGCUGAGGGAGCCGACACAAAGAGAGAGCAGAGUCCCGCUGACGGGGGCGUGUUGAGACGCAGCGGUGACAGCCAGCUCUGUUCACCACCAGAAACGCACACGGGUGCCACAAGAACCGCAGCAGCGCACAACGCAGCCCUGUCGUAUGGCCCAGAUUUGCAGGGAGGGACACAUUUGAUCCAGCACGAUACAUGGGUGAGACUCAGCCCUGGCACGUGACAAAUAAACCAUCAGAGACCCCGCCCCCUUCACAGCUGAAAAUGAUGACUUACAGCUCACACAAAUAAUUCCAUUCAUUCUUUAAAUCCAAGGUCAGUUUUAAAAGGACUUUUUGAAAUGAUUAUUUUUACAUAUAUCAGUAAAAAUCUACGGAA